AUGAAUGACGCAGAGCUACUGACGUUGUCAACGUUCCCGUCCGCCACCACCUACGCCACCUCCGUGUCCGCCUCCAGCACAAUCUCCGUGAAUAGACGGCCACGCGCUGCCUCGUUGACACGCUGUGGCAACCGCUUGCAGCGGAUUGUACGGGCGCUGCAAACAGAAUCGUACAACGCCCUCUCAUCAUCGACGAAGCCCAGUUUCUCUGCGAUCAUGGCCAUGACACUGGUGUUAGCACCGAUCAAUUUCGUGGCUAUGGCUUCCUCCGACGAUGCAGCUUCCAUUAGGGUCAACUCCGCAGUCAAGGAGAAGCGCGCCGAGGACCGCUUGGCGGCACUCAUUGAGAAGAACCCGCAGCUGAUCCUAAUAAAGUAUUUUGAGGAUCUGGCCAAGAAGAAUCCGCCAGCUAAGGACGGCAAGGCCCCACCACGUAGGUGUCCAGGAGUCUACGAUUCAUGGUCUGAAUGCAAUGAACAAGUGCUUCGUUACGAAGGCAGCUCCCAUGACUCGUUCAAUAGCAGAGAGAAGACAGAGUAUCAUUACAAUCAAUAUGUGCUUUACCAGAAGAGAAAAACUGAAUUAGGUAAUGGUGCAAGCCAGAAACGGCUUAUCAGCGAUCCGAGUGAAAAGCUGAUGAAUCAGAACUGGGAAGGAAACAUUACCGAGAGCCGCUCUCGGCAAAGGGUCAUGCGCUGGGAGGUUCUGGACCUUGGCUGUGGCAAAAAAGGUUCAUCUCUGUUGAGCAAUGGUAUUGCAUGUAUUCCGGUAAUGAUGGGUCCUAUAUAUGGUGACAUGACAGACGCAAACACCAAGUGUUGGAUCACCAUGGUCAAUCGACGAGAUCUCCAGCUACGACAUGGCACAGCACCCCCUCACCAAUUGCCUCCUUCUGCACAUGCCGUCCAUCGAUGUUUACUGGUUGUCCUUAGCACGCACGUACGCACCACCCAGUUGUUUCCUGGCUCUUCCCGGCCGGCCGGCUCCAUAAACAAACACAGGCCCAAAAGCAGGUUUUCACCCAGAUCUGAUCGAAGACCUCCAUCUCUCGUGCACGGGCCGCCGCCAUCCCUGCUGGGAUCUCAACGAAGACUCCAAGGAGUGGAUCGGCGCCGCGGCGUCGUCAUCGUUGUGGCCGCCGUCACCGGCCAAGGGUCUCCCCCGAUCCCAAGAGCCCCACCAUCCAGUCACUGCCCACCACCCGGAUCCGGCGAGCAAGGCCACACCGAAGCCCAGAUCAAGCGGGAUAAGGUGAAGGAAAUGAAGCUAGCGCAGGUCGAUCCAGAUCUGGCAACCGGCCGACGGAUCACGGCCGCCAUGAGAUCCCACCACCAGGUCCUCGCCUCCCACGCGCCGGCAAGACGAGCAGCUCCAGGAGUGGUUGUCGAUCAGAGGCGCCGUGACCGCUGCACCGGCCACCGCCACGGAGGCCGCACGUCCAUUACCAAGGCCGCGAGAGGAAGAUCCCGCCGCCGCCGGCCGCCGGCAGGCUUUGCCCGGCGACGUAAGCCAGCGGCGGCGAGGGGAGACGCCAAGAAGGAAGCGCCGGCGGCGGAGAUUAGUUUCCGCCCGUGCCGCCCGAAAGUCAACUCCUUUAGACUAGCGCAGGUGCUUGGAGGCUCGUCGACCGGCGCCUGGCAGGGGCGGCUGCGUCAGGAAGGACUCGAGGUCGGGCGGGAGUUCCCCCAUGUCGGCAUCCGACAGGGGCGGCGCGAGGAAGCCGGGCACGAGCGGCGGGGCCAGCUGCUGCUGCGAGGGGCGCCACGCCGGGCUCUCCCUACUGAGCUCGGCGACGGAGCGACCCUACACGAUGCGCUGGAGCCGGGCACGAGCGGCAGGGCCGGCUGCUGCUGCUGCGCGGGGCGCGACGCCAGGCCCUCGCUGCUGAGCUCGGCCCCGCACUACGCGCCGGAGCUGUGCACGGAUGACGCAUGCGGACGCCCAGGCCGCCGGAUCGGCGCGCAGGCGGACACUGGGGGCGAGGCACCCGACGCCAACGCCCGUCGUGGCCAUGGGGGCGGAUGUAGAUUUUCCACAGGCGAGCACCAGCGGUGGAGGGCGGCGGAGGUGGCACGAAGGUGCACACCAGAUGUUCGAGGAAAUGCCACCGAGAGAGGAGGAGGAAGAAGUGAUAGAGUUUUUUGUCCAUCCCUCCUAUUCUCUCCACUACCCCCAAACACUCAAACAACACCCACGGCAGGGAGAAGCCGUGCAGAGAGGAAUAGCUACACACCAUCAAUGGCACCGGUCGUGAGCGCCGCACUUGGCGUGUUGGGUCCCCUGCUGGUGAAGCUCGCCGCCUUGCUCGCCGGCAAGUUCGGCCGUGUGAGAGGUGUCCGGCGCGAGAUCCUCUCUCUCCUGUCCGAGCUGACCAUCAUGCACGCCGCACUCCAAGAGUACAAAAUGCUGGAAGACCCGGGCGUCCAGUGGCUUCAAAGGCUGUUCCACAACACCACUCGCUUCCUCAAGGCGCUCAAUUCGCGCUGCGGGAUUGCUGGCCAGAAGGCUCUCAUCAAGCAUGUGAAAAAGCUCAGAGAUAGUUACAAGCUGAGUGAGACUGCCUGUAGCAAGACCGGGCAUGCGUCUGUGGAUCCUCGGUUGUGUGCUCUCUUUGCUCAGGGCCGGCUCUAUGAUUUUGAAGGCCCCGUACUUUUAGUUCAGAAACGAAAUCAUCUAGAUCGACAUCUGCUGACUGGAAGACCCGGGCCGUCGCACCUCUCGCACUGGAUCAACUUCAACCAUUGGAUAACAAACGAAUGGGUCUGCUCAUGUCUUCUUCCUCCUGGGAAAAUAGAUCACGCUCGAUUCCUUCCUCUCGCCGCCUGCUACCACUGGCCAGGCCGCUUGCCACCGCCGCCCGUGGCUGGCGGCGCUCCUGUGCUAGCCUUGCCGCCCCACCUUCCUCUCAACUUCUCCCCACCGCCAUGCUGGCGCUGCCCCCGGCCAUCCCUCUAA
rnacentral:rRNA from 1 species